CACGCAGGCGGUUGUGCAAGUCUGGUGUGAAAGACCUGGGCUCAACUCAGGGGACGCGCUGGAAACUGCACGACUAGAAUCUUGGAGGGGGAGUUGGAAUUCCUAGUGUAGGGGUGAAAUCUGUUGAUAUUAGGAAGAACACCGGUGGCGAAGGCGAACUCCUGGCUGUAGAUUGACGCUGAGGUGCGAAAGCAUAGGGAGCAAACAGGAUUAGAUACCCUGGUAGUCUAUGCUGUAAACGAUGUGCACUUGGUGUUGGGCCGAUUAGGUUCAGUGCCGUAGCUAACGCGAUAAGUGCACCGCCUGGGGAGUAUGCCCGCAAGGGUGAA
rnacentral:rRNA from 1 species